rnacentral:rRNA from 1 species
GACGAACGCUGGCGGCGUGCUUAACACAUGCAAGUCGAACGGAAAGGCCCUGCUUUUGUGGGGUGCUCGAGUGGCGCACGGGUGAGUAACACGUGAGUAACCUGCCCUUGACUUUGGGAUAACUUCAGGAAACUGGGGCUAAUACCGGGUAGGAGCUCCUGCUGCAUGGUGGGGGUUGGAAAGUUUCGGCGGUUGGGGAUCGACUCGCGGCUUAUCAGCUUGUUGGUGUGGUAGUGGCUUACCAAGGCUUUGACGGGUAGCCGGCCUGAGAGGGUGACCGGCCACAUGGGGACUGAGAUACGGCCCAGACUCCUACGGGACGCAGCAGUGGGGAAUAUGGCACAAUGGGCGGAAGCCUGAUGCAGCAACGCCGCGUGCGGGAUGACGGCCUUCGGGUUGUAAACCGAUUUCGCCUGUGACGAAGCGUGAGUGACGGUAAUGGGUAAAGAAGCACCGGCUAACUACGUG